AAGACGAGAAGACCCCAUGGAGCUUUAAACCCAAUUAUAUCUCUAACCACUAUAACCAUUUAAUCACUUAGAACUUAUAUACUUGGUUUUAGGUUGGGGCGACCACGGAGCACAACCAAACCUCCACGAUGAACGGAACAACCCCCUUAUCUGAGAAUUACACUUCUAAGAAUUAGCACACUAACAUAAAAUGACCCAUUAUUGAUCAACGAACCAAGUUACCCUGGGGAUAACAGCGCAAUCCAUUUUAAGAGCCCCUAUCGACAAAU
rnacentral:rRNA from 1 species